rnacentral:lncRNA from 1 species
AUGCAUGGAAUAAUAAGUCUUCACGUAUGGAGGUUGCAUGGCUGGUUGGUUGACCGAAUUAUAUGGUAGUUGGUGGUGCACGUUGGAAGGUGGUCAGUAGCUUUUACCGAUUCUUUAGGUUAAUAUUCUCACGUUGGUUUAAGUGUAUGGCUAUAUAUAGCCUAGUUGUUUAAUGAAUAUGUACCCUUUUCUUUUAUUAUUGAAUACAAGUCUGCAAGUUUCCUUCCUUCUUUGCAAGUUACAUAUCCCACACAAGUAAUACAUACAUUCGUGAGUUUUUGUUUGAGUGUAUAGCUAGUGUGUUGAGGGGCCUGUAACCAACAUUUGGUAUCAGAGCCUAGGGCUCGUAGGAAGCGGGUUUGAAGAUCGGAGGAAGCCUCUGCCACCGGCGGGUGUGUCGGUCGGUGGAGGGCAGGCGUAAAAAAGGGUCUAGCCCGUCGUUGCGGGGCAAACGCAGCAGGAAAAUGGGCUGUUUCGGGACAGCAGGUGGCUGUUCGGGACUGUGUUGCAGCGUUAGACGGAAGCGUUAAGGUGUUUCGGUAGGCCGUUGUUGUGGUAGACGUACCGGUUAAGACGACGGGGGUGACCGGUGAUAAACACUUGUGUUUCGUGGCUGUUAGCGAUGUUCAAAGGAAGAACGGGGCUGUUCGGUUGUUAGUUGCGGGUUUGCGCGGCUGGUAUACAACCGGUGAUAACAGUAGAUGGUGAGAAUGGUUGCCUUGAUCGGCUUGGUUCGUGAUAAGAGGAGACCGGCGUAGUGCGUGAAAAGCGGGCAGAAUGGAUCCGUCAAAGCAGGUGGCUUUGGAUUCGCCUCGUUUUGCAAGGUGAGAAAACGUUAGAAGCGGGUGGCUUGUUUUCUUUGUCGGUGGAGAGCCUCUUGAACAAAGGUGAUCGGAAAAAGGUAAAGAAUGGAGAAAACACGGUGACAUUAUGGCGUUGGAGUUCAAUCGGGUGGCUUUGGAUGUGACCGGGGAGAGGUCGUUGAUCCGUGAUAAGUCGUGAUGUUAGUGAACGGUUCCAGCGGGAUGCCAUGUUACAUGUUACAAGUGUGGUGGUUUUUAAUUCGGGCUGAACCGAGAAGGCUUUGGACGUGACCGAGGUGAAGGUCGGGUGUCCGGUAGAAGUCGGGAUGGUUCGAGAAGAGAUGGUGAUUCGGGUGUCGUGAACGAGUGGUAUGAACAAACCGAUUAAGGGGGUGAAUGUUGGGUUAAUCGGUUCAGUUUAGGGAUAACGGGUCGACACGUUAUCGGGUCACGGGAUAAUGUGUUAGAUUGUAUUAAUUUGCAAAGUGGAAUGCAUGGAAUAAUAAGUCUUCACGUAUGGAGGUUGCAUGGCUGGUUGUUGAAGACUAAUUCAUAUGGGUUUUAUGUUUAAGGUUUUAUUUAAUAAUAUUAAUUAGAUAAAAUUUGUAAAAGGGUUGACCGAAUUAUAUGGUAGUUGGUGGUGCACGUUGGAAGGUGGUCAGUAGCUUUUACCGAUUCUUUAGGUUAAUAUUCUCACGUUGGUUUAAGUGUAUGGCUAUAUAUAGCCUAGUUGUUUAAUGAAUAUGUACCCUUUUCUUUUAUUAUUGAAUACAAGUCUGCAAGU